rnacentral:miRNA from 13 species
CUCAUUGCAUGAACUGUGUAUA